AUGGAACGCUGGCGGCGUGUCUAAGGCAUGCAAGUCGAAUGGUCUGGUUUCCAGACCAUGGCAAACGGGAAGAGUAACACAUUGGUAAUUUACCCCAAAGACGAGAAUAAUCCAGAGAAAUCUGGAAUAAUACUCGAUAUUAUGCAUUGUCGCCUGAUAAUGCAUCAAAGCUCCGGCGCUUUGGGAGAAGCCUAUGGUCUAUCAGCUAGUUGGUGAGGUAAUGGCCCACCAAGGCGACGACGGAUAGCGGGUGUGAGAGCAUGACCCGUCUCACUGGGACUGAGACACUGCCCAGACUCCUACGGGAGGCUGCAGUCAAGAAUAUUCCUCAAUGGCCGAAAGGCUGAAGGAGCGACGCCGCGUGUAUGAUGAAGCCCUUCGGGGUGUAAAAUACUUUUAACCGGGACGAAGUACUGACGGUACCGGUUGAAUAAGGGGCUGCUAACCUCGUG
rnacentral:rRNA from 1 species